ensembl:lncRNA
AUGGGGCUUCGCGGACCGAGCAGCUCGGGGGUGUUCCUGACAGUCAGCCUUCUGUGGGUGACUGGAUGCUUCACCCAAAAAGUUUACUUUGAUUGUGGAGCCAAGGUGGAUGUUGUGGAUGUGCAGGGCCUCAUUCUGUCCCCUGGCUUCCCAUAUAACUAUUCAUCUGGAACUCACUGUGUGUGGCAGUUCUUUGUACCUGUUGGUCACCAGCUAAUCCUGGAGAUGUUUGAUUUUGAUGUCUUUGAGAGUCACGACAGUGCCGUUGUGGACGAGGUACCAAACGAUGGUGGCGCGCUGGUGUCGAAAAGCCUCGGAAGUCCAAAAGAACCCCAGUCCACACUCCGAGAGGACGUCAAGCAAGUGGUGAUCCAAGAACAGUCCACCAAAAUGGAGAUGACCAAAGUUUCCAAUUCUGCCAAAAUGCUUUCCGAUCCCCCCUCGGCUCCACAAGCAUCUCUUCCAGUUGAAAACAGAAAUUUUGUUUCAUCUCAGGCAUCAAGAGCAGCCACUGACUUUAUCAUUUCAAGCCCACGAACGGCCACAGAAACGGGUGACGCUGUGAGCCCUGAGACCCAGGCACCUUUGAUCGAUGCCUGUCCCAACGAUGUUCUCUACAUAUCAGAUCUCAUCACCUUCUCCUCCCGAUUCUGCGGCUCUAGACGGCCUUCUAGCAGCCAGUUAGUGUUUGGAUCUGAUGAUGACAUGGUUGAGGUCAUUAUGGAGUUGAUUACCACUACCCACUGGGGCCGUGGUUUCGCUCUCCUUUUCCAUUAUCAGAAUCAAACUCAGACCGCCACAAGCGAACAUCAGAGAUCACUAUUGACCUCCGACAGCAGAACUGGUGUUGUACUGCUCGGUGCUGUAAGUGGGACAGUUGUAUUUGCUGUGGCCCUUGCUGGCAUCCUCUGUGUGAUUUUCAGGCCGAAACUGUGCGCAAAAGGAGCCAAUGCUUCCUCUUCCAUCAGCUCAGAGGUUCCAGAAGGAGUGCUAAAUUCAGCGGCUGAUGUGAGUGAACUGCAGAUGGUUUCUCCCAAUCACUUGGAGCAGCAGCCGGGAGCAGUGAACGACAACAACAACCGUUCCCUCAACCGCAGUCUGUCCCAUACAGGGUCUUCAGUAAAGGGAGCAUGUGACAUGUCAGAGAAAGCCGCUCUAGAGCAGUUCUCCAGUGGUCUGACUGAAUUAGAAUUAGGCACAGAUGAGGUUUUCGUCAUCGCCUCUGCACCCAUCUCAGCCCAUCUGCCCUUCUCUCCACAUACUCAACGAGAGCGUUUUCUGAGGCACAGUGACACGGGACCCAGCCGUCCCUUCGACUGGCCGACUCCAGACCAAGCGCUGCCUUCUAUGACAAAGAGCAGCCAGGCCGGAUCGACAAACAGCACGCGACCACGAGCAUGGAGUGUCCGAACCUUCCAGGAUCUCCUUCCUCCUCUUCCUCAACUCCAUAAGAAAUGGUGCAGCUGGAACUCUACCAGCCCAUUCACCAAGCUGGUGGACAGUGGACUCCCAAGCACUCCUACAGAUUCUGGAAGGGGAAAGGUCCUAUCUGAUGCUCCUCUUCACAGUCCUGCCGACACAAGUAACGCCUCUUACCCCCUGACUCAACCCACCCAGCGCCAGCGACGCCUCAACUCCACCAGCAACCUCAGACGCUCACGGUUCAACGCUCCCUGCUUCGGCUUGCUCGAGUCCUCCAAAGCACAAGCCAAUGGACUUAUGACCCCAAACACGCUCUCAGAUACCAGCCAGCUGCAGGUCAAAGGUCAAAUAUCAAGCCUUGCGGAUGACCACGUCACUGUACCAGUGUUUGCCAUCUCAGAAGAGGAAGACCGACAACCUCUAGUCUCAGAAGAGCAUCCCGAGAAGCCUUCGCGGAUGAAAGGACAGAUGUUUGAAGGCGCAAAGAUGCCGCUGUUAUCAAAAAGCCAGGCUCCCAGCAUCCACCCGAGCUCUUUAGUGAGGGGAGGCCGUGGUGGCGCGUCGGGGACGCAGCAUCCUUCAGCUCUCUCUUGUUAACAGUGACUCCAGAAACAAAGUCUGCCAGUGCCAUGAAGUUUGAGUAUGAUGGUCAUGUGACCAGUUCAGCCAAUAACUGAUCUCAACAGGACUGAAAACUCAGCUUAUGAGCUGCUGUUCAAAUAUGCCGUGAAGAUUCAAAUGGGUUUGUUAUGAAUAUUGGCAUGAAUGAAGAAAGAAAAAUGAAAGCACUUAUUGUUCUUUGUGUUCUUGAAUCUGCACAUUUAUUUGCUAAGUAUAAAACCACCAUCUAACAGUAUAUUUUAUUACCUGCAAAUGUAUGCAUUUGAUAAAUGUUUAACCAAGCUCACUUAAUGUUUCUACUCACUACUGAGCGUUUUGAGUUGUAAGGCUGCAUUGUUACUUUUAUUAUGAAAUUCCAUGUAUCUGCUCUAUGAACAAUACAGCUUGUUCUAAUCCCUUUGCAACCUGUAGAAGAUCAAUUAGCUGGUCUGGCAGAAAGCUGCUUGGCUUCCACAUGUUUUUUUAUUUUUUUUUUGUAGUUCACUAUGGGUCCAAUUCACAUUUUGUACUGUUAAAAAAGUUAGUAAAUCAUAUAUGAAUGAAAAUGGCAUAUAUUGUUAUUUCUCAAGGGACAUAACCACUGAAAAUUUCAUUUUGACUGAGUAAUUUUAAUCAAGUUACUGUUUUUCCACCUAUAUCACUUACUAUGUGCCUUGUGGCCAUCAUCUAUGCUGCUAAAUAUGCACUGAUGCAAUACCUGAAAUUGUGUAUACAGUCAUAUUUUUGUAACGUUUGCAAUUUCAUAACUGUUUUCUUUAUAUGGUAUGUUUUCCUGAAUGCAGUAAUAUUGUCAACUGUACUGAUUUUGAUGGAUUAUAAAGGGAACUGAUCACCGUACAGACAUUUAAAAUGCAGUAACUAACAUUUAAUGCAAAUAAAACAUUGUAUAGUGAUGUUGUGUGCUGCUGUAUUAUCUCAUUUCAGAAUAUGCAUAGAAGGGACAAAGUCGAAUGUAGUCUUUUAUUAUUAGUGCAGUAAAUUAAACAAGGUUUUAUUCUCAGAUUUAUUUCUAGGCAUUACAAACAUGAGGCACAGCAAGCGCUAAUUCAACUAUAGAACAUUAACAGUGCUAUUAUAAGGGCUUCCCAAUAGUUACUCAAAAACCUGAGCAGAAAACAUUUUCGUCUCCAUUUGAAGCUUCAGUUUAAACUAUGAUGAGGUAGAAUUAAACACCCCCUUUUCCGAAAGAAAGAAAAAAUCCCAUCCAACCCAAGCAAGUAAAUAUUUGCUGAGUACAUCUCCCUUUCAGUAAAUGCAAAGCAGCCCCCAAAGCGUCUCUAACACUCGGGACAAUUCCUGAAUAAAUCCCUCAAACCUUCCUGCAGAUUUUAAGAGUUCAUUAAAUGAGACCUGCUUUGGAGCUCACGUCAUAACAUACCAUUCAACUAACCUAAACCACCUUUUAGGUUUAUACAAGAGCCUGUAUGUGGUUUCAAAAGAAGGUUUAUCAGUCUAUUAGACAUACAAAAUGUUUAGGUAGAUAUUAGAAUAUAAUAGAAACCCCUUUCCCACAUAUCUUGAUAUUUCAGAAUUUGCAUACCAGUUCGUUUACAAUCAGAUAAAAUUUGAGGAAAGCUGCUUUAGAUAAAAGCAUCUACCAAAUGCAUCAAUGGAAAAAAAACUAAACAGAACAGGUGGAAGUAACUAUUAUGAACUCUAAUAGAAACAUUCCCAUACAAACUUUCAAAGUAACGGCAGGGUGAGUUAUCCUGUAAAACCACAGUGUAGCAAAUCCUGUCAGGUGCCAUUAGGUCAGUGUGUGAGGUUUUAGAGUGCUGAGCCCUUCUGUCCACCUUCAUUAAAGCACAGCUGAG